rnacentral:rRNA from 1 species
UACGUAGGGUGCAAGCGUUAAUCGGAAUUACUGGGCGUAAAGCGUGCGCAGGCGGUUUUGUAAGUCUUGCGUGAAAGCCCCGGGCUCAACCUGGGAAUUGCGAUGGAGACUGCAAGGCUUGAAUCUGGCAGAGGGGGGUAGAAUUCCACGUGUAGCAGUGAAAUGCGUAGAGAUGUGGAGGAACACCGAUGGCGAAGGCAGCCCCCUGGGUCAAGAUUGACGCUCAUGCACGAAAGCGUGGGGAGCAAACAGG